rnacentral:rRNA from 1 species
GACGAACGCUGGCGGCGUGCUUAACACAUGCAAGUCGUACGAUGACCCGGCUCUUCGGCGCUGGUGAUUAGUGGCGAACGGGUGAGUAACACGUGGGUGACCUGCCCUGCACUCUGGGAUAAGCCCGGGAAACUGGGUCUAAUACUGGAUACGACCAGUGGCCGCAUGGUCUGCUGGUGGAAAGCCCUUCGGGGUGGUGUGGGAUGGGCCCGCGGCCUAUCAGCUUGUUGGUGGGGUGAUGGCCUACCAAGGCGACGACGGGUAGCCGGCCUGAGAGGGUGUCCGGCCACACUGGGACUGAGACACGGCCCAGACUCCUACGGGAGGCAGCAGUGGGGAAUCUUGCAAAAUGGGCGAAAGCCUGAUGCAGCGACGCCGCGUGAGGGAUGACGGCCUUCGGGUUGUAAACCUCUUUCGGCAGGGAACAAGCCUGGGGGUUUUCUGCUGGGUGAGGGUACCUGCGGAAGAAGCACCGGCUAACUACGUG